rnacentral:rRNA from 1 species
CCUACGGGAGGCAGCAGUGGGGAAUAUUGGACAAUAGGGGAAACCCUGAUCCAGCCAUGCCGCGUGUGUGAAGAAGGCCUUAUGGUUGUAAAGCACUUUAAGCGAGGAGGAGGGUACCUUAGUUAAUACCUAAGAGUAUCGGACGUUACUCGCAGAAUAAGCACCGGCUAACUCUGUGCCAGCAGCCGCGGUAAUA